AUCCAGCUGACAAGUCCCAAAUCGGACAAAAUGCGCGUCCUGGAU
rnacentral:hammerhead_ribozyme from 1 species